AGUUGGUGCAAAAGUAAUUGCGGUUUUUGCCGUCGAAAAUAAUGGCAAAAACUGCAGUUACUUUUGUACCAAUG
ensembl:miRNA MIR548AM microRNA 548am